GCUUGCGCAACAACUUCCACCUGGCUUACCUUUUCAAUUGUCUGUCUAGGCUUGUCUUGCCUAGAUGGAGUGUGGGUUUCCUGUGUUGCCUGCCUAAGUAAUGGUAUUGUCUUGAUGGAUUAGUUUUUGUUUUCGUCUUGUGUCAGUCAUGACACUAGAUGAACCAUAUGGCUGUCUCUUUGAACCACACCAUUAGUUAACUAAUGUUGUGGCACAUUAAGCAUAGCUUGGUCUCAUGGAUACAGAACCUGAUGUUGGCAUAGGGUUUCUUGAGAUCCUUGUUCUGCCCUCAUUAAGCGUUCUCGCUUCUUUUAAAAUGACUUCUCGUUUCGCAUUGCCUUGGCAAGUGUUGCGGGUUAAGUCAAAGAGGAAUGC
rnacentral:misc_RNA from 1 species